AAAGGUCUCCGUUGGUGAACCAGCGGAGGGAUCAUUA
rnacentral:rRNA from 1 species